rnacentral:rRNA from 1 species
AUUGAACGCUGGCGGCAUGCUUUACACAUGCAAGUCGAACGGUAACAGGUUAAGCUGACGAGUGGCGAACGGGUGAGUAAUGCAUCGGAACGUGCCCGAUCGUGGGGGAUAACGCAGCGAAAGCUGCGCUAAUACCGCAUACGAUCUGAGGAUGAAAGCGGGGGACCGUAAGGCCUCGCGCGAUCGGAGCGGCCGAUGUCAGAUUAGGUAGUUGGUGGGGUAAAGGCCCACCAAGCCGACGAUCUGUAGCUGGUCUGAGAGGACGACCAGCCACACUGGGACUGAGACACGACCCAGACUCCUACGGGAGGCAGCAGUGGGGAAUUUUGGACAAUGGGCGAAAGCCUGAUCCGGCAAUGCCGCGUGCAGGAAGAAGGCCUUCGGGUUGUAAACUGCUUUUGUACGGAGCGAAAAGGUCCUUUCUAAUACAAGGGGCUCAUGACGGUACCGUAAGAAUAAGCACCGGCUAACUACGUGCCAGCAGCCGCCGUAA